rnacentral:tRNA from 1 species
GGGAUUGUAGCUCAGUGGUAGAGCACUCAUCUGGCAUGUGUGAGGCACUAGGUUUGAUCCACAGUGCCA